rnacentral:rRNA from 1 species
GACGAACGCUGGCGGCGUGCUUAACACAUGCAAGUCGAACGGAAAGGCCCUGCUUUUGUGGGGUGCUCGAGUGGCGAACGGGUGAGUAACACGUGAGUAACCUGCCCUUGACUUUGGGAUAACUUCAGGAAACUUGGGCUACUACCGGAUAGGAGCUCCUGCUGCAUGGUGGGGGUUGGAUAGUUUCGGCGGUUGGGGAUGGACUCGCGGCUUAUCAGCUUGUUUGUGGGGUAGUGGCUUACCAAGGCUUUGACGGGUAGCCGGCCUGAGAGGGUGACCGGCCACAUUGGGACGGAGAUACGGCCCAGCCUCCUACGGGAGGCAGGAGUGGGGAAUAUUGCACAAUGGGAGGAAGCCUGAUGCAGCAACGCCGCGUGCGGGAUGACGGCCUUCGGGUUGUAAACCGCUUUCGCCUGUGACGAAGCGUGAGUGACGGUAAUGGGUAAAGAAGCACCGGCUAACUACGUG